rnacentral:rRNA from 1 species
AGAGUUUGAUCAUGGCUCAGGACGAACGCUGGCGGCGUGCUUAACACAUGCAAGUGGAGCGACGAACCAGGCUUCGGCCUGGGGCAAAGCCGCAAACGGGUGAGUAACACGUGGGUACCUGCCCCGAUGACCGGGACAACCCGAGGAAACUCGGGCUAAUACCGGAUGUGGUCACCUCACAUAAGUGAGAUGACUAAAGAUAGCUUCGGCCUUCGCAUCGGGAUGGGCCCGCGGCGCAUUAGCUUGUUGGUGAGGUAACGGCUCACCAAGGCGACGAUGCGUAGCUGGUCUGAGAGGACGAUCAGCCACACUGGGACUGAGACACGGCCCAGACUCCUACGGGAGGCAGCAGUGGGGAAUCUUGCGCAAUGCGCGAAAGCGUGACGCAGCAACGCCGCGUGGGGGAAGAAGGCCUUCGGGUUGUAAACCCCUUUCAGGAGGGACGAAGCCUGGCUGGUGAAUAGCCAGUCCAGGUGACGGUACCUCCACAAGAAGCCCCGGCUAACUACGUGCCAGCAGCCGCGGUAAUACGUAGGGGGCAAGCGUUGUCCGGAAUCAUUGGGCGUAAAGAGCGCGUAGGCGGCCCAGCAAGUCCGCUCUGAAAGUCAGAGGCUCAACCUCUGAAUGCGGGUGGAUACUACUGGGCUAGAGUCCGGAAGAGGCGAGUGGAAUUCCUGGUGUAGCGGUGAAAUGCGCAGAUAUCAGGAGGAACACCGAUGGCGAAGGCAGCCGCUGGGACGGUACUGACGCUGAGGCGCGAAAGCGUGGGGAGCAAACAGGAUUAGAUACCCUAGUAGUCC